rnacentral:rRNA from 1 species
AAGUUAUUAAGGGCACACGGUGGAUGCCUUGGCAUUAAGAGCCGAUGAAGGACGUGUGAAUCUGCGAUAAGCCUCGGGGAGCCGAUAACUGGGCUGUGAUCCGAGGAUUUCCGAAUGGGGAAACCUGGCUCAUCUUCAUGGUGAGUUACCGCCAGCUGAAUGUAUAGGCUGGUUGGGGGGAACGCGGGGAAGUGAAACAUCUCAGUACCCGCAGGAAGAGAAAAUAAAGUAAUGAUUCUGUGAGUAGUGGCGAGCGAAAGCGGAAGAGACUAAACCUGUGGUGUGUGAUAGCGGUUAGGCGUUGCAUCAUGGGGGUUGUGGGAGUCACAGUGGCAGUUCUAACUGGCUGCCGGCAUGAUGUUCAGGAUGGUAGGUGAACGACUUGGAAUGGUCGGCCGUAGAGGGUGAGAGUCCCGUAAUCGAAAUUGUUCUGUCCGUGGUGUGGCCACCCGAGUAGCACGGGGCUCGUGGAAUCUCGUGUGAAUCUGCCAGGACCACCUGGUAAGUCUAAAUACUUCUUAGUGACCGAUAGUGAAUCAGUACCGUGAGGGAAUGGUG